rnacentral:rRNA from 1 species
AACAAACGCUGGCGGCGUGUCUUAAGCAUGCAAGUUGAGCGGCAAGGGCAGCAAUGCCCCUAGAGCGGCGGACUGGUGAGUAACGCGUGGGUGAUCUACCCAAGGCAUGGGGAUAGCCAUUAGAAAUAGUGGGUAAUACCGAAUACGCUUGUGCAGGUAAGCUGCAUAAGGAAAGGUGCUACGGCACCGGCCUAGAGAUGAGCCCGCGUCCCAUUAGCUAGUUGGUGAGGUAACGGCCCACCAAGGCGAUGAUGGGUAGCCGGCCUGAGAGGGUGUACGGCCACACUGGGACUGAGAUACGGCCCAGACUCCUACGGGAGGCAGCAGCUAAGAAUAUUCCGCAAUGGACGAAAGUCUGACGGAGCGACGCCGCGUGGAUGAAGAAGGCCGAAAGGUUGUAAAAUCCUUUUGCUGAGGAAGAAUAAGUGUGGGAGGGAAUGCCCGCAUGAUGACAUGAAUCGGCGAAUAAGCCCCGGCCAACUACGUG